rnacentral:rRNA from 1 species
AUACGGAGGGGGUUAGCGUUGUUCGGAAUUACUGGGCGUAAAGCGUACGUAGGCGGAUUAGUAAGUUAGGGGUGAAAUCCCGAGGCUCAACCUCGGAACUGCCUCUAAAACUGCUAGUCUUGAGUUCGAGAGAGGUGAGUGGAAUUCCUAGUGUAGAGGUGAAAUUCGUAGAUAUUAGGAGGAACACCAGUGGCGAAGGCGGCUCACUGGCUCGAUACUGACGCUGAGGUACGAAAGUGUGGGGAGCAAACAGGAUUAGAAACCCGAGUAGUCC